AUUGAACGCUGGCGGCAGGCUUAACACAUGCAAGUCGAGCGGUAACAGAGAGAAGCUUGCUUCUCUGCUGACGAGCGGCGGACGGGUGAGUAAUGCCUAGGAACCUGCCUAGUAGUGGGGGAUAACUUGCCGAAAGGUAGGCUAAUACCGCAUACGUCCUACGGGAGAAAGGAGGGGACCUUCGGGCCUUUCGCUAUUAGAUGAGCCUAGGUCGGAUUAGUUAGUUGGUGAGGUAAUGGCUCACCAAGACCGCGAUCCGUAACUGGUCUGAGAGGAUGAUCAGUCACACUGGAACUGAGACACGGUCCAGACUCCUACGGGAGGCAGCAGUGGGGAAUAUUGGACAAUGGGGGGAACCCUGAUCCAGCCAUGCCGCGUGUGUGAAGAAGGUCUUAGGAUUGUAAAGCACUUUAAGUUGGGAGGAAGAGCAGUUAACUAAUAUUUGACUGUUUUGACGUUACCGACAGAAUAAGCACCGGCUAACUUCGUGCCAGCCGCCGCGGUAA
rnacentral:rRNA from 1 species